UACGGGAGGCAGCAGUGGGGAAUAUUGCACAAUGGGCGCAAGCCUGAUGCAGCCAUGCCGCGUGUAUGAAGAAGGCCUUCGGGUUGUAAAGUACUUUCAGUCGCGAGGAAGGUGUUAAGGUUAAUAACCUUAGCAAUUGACGUUAGCGACAGAAGAAGCACCGGCUAACUCCGUGCCAGCAGCCGCGGUAAUACGGAGGGUGCGAGCGUUAAUCGGAAUUACUGGGCGUAAAGGGCACGCAGGCGGUUAAUUAAGUUGGAUGUGAAAUCCCCGGGCUUAACCUGGGAAUGGCAUUCAAGACUGGUUAGCUAGAGUCUUGUAGAGGGGGUAGAAUUCCAUGUGUAGCGGUGAAAUGCGUAGAGAUGUGGAGGAAUACCGGGUGGCGAAGGCGGCCCCUGGGACAAAGACUGACGCUCAUGUGCGAAAGCGUGGGGAGCAAACAGGGAUUAGAUA
rnacentral:rRNA from 1 species